rnacentral:lncRNA from 1 species
CCCCUCAACUUAAAUACAAUUUAUAUUCAGUUUUGCAGCUCCGAUACAGAUAUUUUUCACCUGUCCUUCUGAAUGUCCGUUUAAGCUCAAAUUUGACAAUCAGGCUCGGUUUUACUUAACGAAAGAAAUUUUAAUCUUUCAGUUUCGACCAUAUUUGGUCACCGAAAGCUCUACCGAAUUAAAAUCUCUAGCAGAUAGCAGUCGGAUUUUAUUUUCUACUUUCCGGAUGUCAGAAUGACAUAAAACUUUAAAUCUAUCCUCAUAAAAAUAAUUCUGACAUACUCUCUAGUUUUCAUAAUUUUCUGACACUGUGCAUUUUCUGCUAAAAUAUCAGCCCCGUCUCUUACAGAAAAUUCUAAAUCUUCUGUUUUCGUUCCGAUUUCAACACAAGUCAUUUCUGACUUAUAUUUUACUCCACUAAAUCCAAUAAAAAUAGUAUCUCACACUAUUUUUAUUUAUUUUUACUUUUAUAUCAAAAUCCAGUAUGUUACAUUAAUUAUAAUGACCAAUUAAUAUAGGAGAAUC